rnacentral:lncRNA from 1 species
CGUUGUUUUUGCAGUUAAUAUGUCUUAGAGAUCCUUUGCACUGAUGCUUCGUGAUUUAGCCAGUGCCCAAUUGAUGAGAAUAAUCAUUUGUUUUACUGAACUGCAAAUGGGCCAGCGUAGUAUAGUGUGCGGGGGUCAAGGAAAAGCCCAUCUUCAAUUUUUGUAAUCUCUCUCAUAGAAACUGUGCUCAGUUCUGUCCUUACCAGCAAUUUAAGAGAAUGCUCAUUCACCCCACAUUCUGAUCUUGUUAAAUGAAAUGGGCUCAUGAGGAGGGCCUGGGCCUGUAGAGGGGUGAGAGGCUGACUGGUAGCAAACCUCUGGAGGGGAAGAAGGCUCCUGUCACACACUGCCUUCUUCCCGUGGAGUCUCAGUGGUGGAAAUGUGUGAAAGGUAUGAAGCUUACUUGGGAAACUGAGAACCUUUUCCACAGUUUGGGCAAAAGCCAUUAUCUGGUCCCUACAGUGUUCUUGAAGGGAAUGCAAGUGUGACAUUCUUGCCUUUAAAAAGCUGAAAAUCAAGUUGGGAAGACAAGGGUGACUUGAGAACAGCAAGACGAGCAGGGAACCUUUUGAAUCAUGAUAUAAAUAUACUGUAGAGGCUCCUGGGCUAGAGACCAGCCCUGCACUAGUCCAAGUGUCCUGCAUGUAAGCUGGGAAGGGUGGGCGGGGAUGAAGUGUGUGCACUGUCUCUUCUGCCAGAGGCACUCUCCUUGCCACCAAGGACUUCAGAGGGUAACUUAAGUGGUGUUUCAGUUGGUGUCUGCUCAGAACCUUCUCUUGUUUGUAUCCAAUGUCAAGUCCCUGUUGAACUCCCACACAGACAGCACUCAUAGGCACUUCCCUUAGUAGACCUGGUCUGCUAUCUCUACUCCUGCCUGAUGUACUGUGGCCUUCAUUCCAUAUCAAGAGCAUAAAUAGGGGCAGAGAUUCUCAGCCAGUCUUUUAGGAACACACCCUCCUCCAAGCAGAGGAAGUGUGUAUCCAGGUUAUAGUGAAUUUUGCCCAAGUCAGAAAAUCUGGGUAUUUGUGGAUAUCCAGUUUUUACUGGUGUAGCCCCUGUCAGUCUUCAGUCUAUGAAAUAAGGAGAGUGAUUGCUUUGUUGGUGACCAGUUAGUGUUGUGAGGAUUGAGAUAAGGGGUACGAAGUUCACCCAUCACGUGUAACUGGUGCUUUCAUUAGUAUUUUGAGUAGUGGAAAACGGGUUUGAUGGAUAAGGUGGGAUCAGAUCAUGGUGGCCUUGACAGACACAUGGAGGAGUUCAGUUGGGAUAAAGAAUGCAGUUGGGGGAGUGGGCAGGGAGGCCAAGGAGGAGACAGCUAUUCCAAGUUACAAACCCAAAUGACCAGAAAUCUAGCAGUGUCAUUAUCAGACAGGGAAGAGGAAUCUGAGCUUUCAGGAAGAGAGCUUCAGUUCUGCUAAGUUGGAGGUGAUGAUGCAGCAAUGUCCAAGUGACAGACGAGCUGUGGGACAGGUGUCUGGAGAGAGGGAGGAAAUUCUCAUACGGGGGUCAGGUUUGGAGCAAGGAGAAUGAUUGAACUCUCUAAGGAGGGUGGAAAGACACAGGAUAUAGGGAUUGGCCAGGUG